rnacentral:rRNA from 1 species
GAUGAACGCUGGCGGCGUGCCUAAUACAUGCAAGUCGAGCGAACAGACGAGGAGCUUGCUCCUCUGACGUUAGCGGUGGACGGGUGAGUAACACGUGGAUAACCUACCUAUAAGACUGGGAUAACUUCGGGAAACCGGAGCUAAUACCGGAUAAUAUAUUGAACCGCAUGGUUCAAUAGUGAAAGACGGUUUUGCUGUCACUUAUAGAUGGAUCCGCGCCGCAUUAGCUAGUUGGUAAGGUAACGGCUUACCAAGGCAACGAUGCGUAGCCGACCUGAGAGGGUGAUCGGCCACACUGGAACUGAGACACGGUCCAGACUCCUACGGGAGGCAGCAGUAGGGAAUCUUCCGCAAUGGGCGAAAGCCUGACGGAGCAACGCCGCGUGAGUGAUGAAGGUCUUCGGAUCGUAAAACUCUGUUAUUAGGGAAGAACAAAUGUGUAAGUAACUAUGCACGUCUUGACGGUACCUAAUCAGAAAGCCACGGCUAACCACGUG